rnacentral:rRNA from 1 species
GACGAACGCUGGCGGCGUGCUUAACACAUGCAAGUCGUACGGUAAGGCCCUUUCGUUGGUACUCGAGUGGCGAACGGGUGAGUAACACUUGAGUAACCUUCCCACAACUUUGAGAUAACGCUAGGAAACUGGUGCUAAUACUGGUUAUGUGCCACUUCUGCAUGGUGGGGGUUGGAAAGCUCCGGCGGUUGUGGCUGUACUCGCGGGCUAUCAGCUUGUUGGGGGGGUAGUGGCGUACCAAGGCGGCGACGGGUAGCCGGCCUGAGAGGGUGACCGGCGACAUUGGGACUGAGGUACGGCCCAGACUGCUACGGGAGGCAGCAGUGGGGAAGAUUGCACAAUGGGCGCAAGGCGGAUGAAGCAGCGCCGCGGGCGGGAUGACGGCCUUAGGGUUGUAAAACGCUUUCAGCAGGGACGAAGCUUUUUGUGACGGUACCUGAAGAAGAAGCACCGGCUAACUACGUG